AUUGAACGCUGGCGGCAGGCCUAACACAUGCAAGUCGAACGAGUGGCGGACGGGUGAGUAAUGUCGGGGAAACUGCCUGACGGAGGGGGAUAACUACUGGAAACGGUAGCUAAUACCGCAUACCAUCAGAUGUGCUCACAUGGGAUUAGCUUGUUGGUGGGGUAACGGCUCACAAAGGCGACGAUCCCCAGCUGGUCUGAGAGGAUGACCGGCCACACUGGAACUGAGACACGGUCCAGACUCCUACGGGAGGCAGCAGUGGGGAAUAUUGCACAAUGGACGCAAGCCUGAUGCAGCCAUGCCGCGUGAAUGAAGAAGGCCUUCGGGUUGUAAAGUACUUUCAGCGGGGAGGCGUUACCCGCAGAAGAAGCACCGGCUAACUCCGUGCCAGCAGCCGCGGUAAUAC
rnacentral:rRNA from 1 species